CCUACGGGAGGCAGCAGUGGGGAAUUUUGGACAAUGGGCGCAAGCCUGAUCCAGCCAUGCCGCGUGCGGGAAGAAGGCCUUCGGGUUGUAAACCGCUUUUGUCAGGGAAGAAAAGGUUCUGGUUAAUACCUGGGACUCAUGACGGUACCUGAAGAAUAAGCACCGGCUAACUACGUGCCAGCAGCCGCGGUAAUACGUAGGGUGCAAGCGUUAAUCGGAAUUACUGGGCGUAAAGCGUGCGCAGGCGGUUAUGCAAGACAGAGGUGAAAUCCCCGGGCUCAACCUGGGAACUGCCUUUGUGACUGCAUAGCUAGAGUGCGGCAGAGGGGGAUGGAAUUCCGCGUGUAGCAGUGAAAUGCGUAGAUAUGCGGAGGAACACCGAUGGCGAAGGCAAUCCCCUGGGCCUGCACUGACGCUCAUGCACGAAAGCGUGGGGAGCAAACAGGAUUAGAUACCCUGGUAGUCCACGCCCUAAACGAUGUCAACUGGUUGUUGGGAGGGUUUCUUCUCAGUAACGUAGCUAACGCGUGAAGUUGACCGCCUGGGGAGGUAACGGUCGCGAGUUAGUAAGUUAGAAGAAGUUAGAGGNGNGAGAGNGCGAGACGACGACGAGGAGGAGG
rnacentral:rRNA from 1 species